rnacentral:rRNA from 1 species
GGGCGCAGCAGGCGCGAAACCUCUGCAAUAGGCGAAAGCCUGACAGGGUUACUCUGAGUGAUUUCCGUUAAGGAGAUCUUUUGGCACCUCUAAAAAUGGUGCACAAUAAGGGGUGGGCAAGUCUGGUGUCAGCCGCCGCGGUAAUACCAGCACCCCGAGUGGUCGGGACGUUUAUUGGGCCUAAAGCAUCCGUAGCCGGUUCUACAAGUCUUCCGUUAAAUCCACCUGCUUAACAGAUGGGCUGCGGAAGAUACUAUAGAGCUAGGAGGCGGGAGAGGCAAGCGGUACUCGAUGGGUAGGGGUAAAAUCCGUUGAUCCAUUGAAGACCACCAGUGGCGAAGGCGGCUUGCCAGAACGCGCUCGACGGUGAGGGAUGAAAGCUGGGGGAGCAAACCGGAUUAGAUACCCGGGUAGUCCCAGCUGUAAACGAUGCAGACUCGGUGAUGAAUUGGCUUUAUGCCAACUCAGUGCCGCAGGGAAGCCGUUAAGUUUGCCGCCUGGGGAGUACGGUCGCAAGACUGAAACUUAAAGGAAU